ensembl:ncRNA lncRNA:CR45809 long non-coding RNA:CR45809
AUACAUCGAAACCAUAACUGACUGGCUUUCAAAAUUGUCAAGCCACUUGCCGAUUAUGGUAUUAUAUUUUCUGCCAGUUUAGUGCAAUUUCCUCGCUUCUGGCUUCUGGCACACCUGCUCAGGUGGAGCCAAACUGCAGCAGUUUCCUCCAAACAUCGAAUCAUGAAAAUUGCAUUGAAACUAUUUCAAGUUUUCCGGACAAAGCGAAGGCGGGAUGAAAAGUGGAAAAGCGGAAGAGCGGGAAAGGCUGGGGACUUGGUGUUAGUUGCUGUUUUCUGGCAACUGCAGAGAUGCCGCUCAAAAAUUCAUGAGUGCGAAAAGCCACAGCAGGAAAAGUCGCAUAUAGAAGCAGUUGAGAGGGCGAGCAAAGUUUCGACAGGCAAACAAAAAUCAUAACGGAACCAAGGAGGAUUGUGUCGGCGGAUUCCCAGGACCUUUUCUCUUCCCGCUCCUCCUGGCCAUGGGUUUGAAUGUUUAUUAAAAGACAAUGUCACUAGAGAGGCGAAAAGAAGGCUGCAAGGGCAGAGUGAAAAGGACGAAGGCAAGGACAGCGGAGCUCGCGACCAGAAAACCUCAAAAUGGCAUGAAAUGUCAGUGAUUUGACGCUCGGGGAGAUUCGGGUAGUUAGGUCCUCUAUCCCCUCCAGGAAUUGCUAGCUGCUCAUAUGUAAAGUUACAGUCGACACUGUAGUGUAAAGAAAUAG